rnacentral:rRNA from 1 species
AUUGAACGCUGGCGGCAUGCCUUACACAUGCAAGUCGAACGGCAGCGCGGACUUCGGUCUGGCGGCGAGUGGCGAACGGGUGAGUAAUACAUCGGAACGUACCCUGUUGUGGGGGAUAACUAGUCGAAAGAUUAGCUAAUACUGCAUACGACCUGAGGGUGAAAGUGGGGGACCGCAAGGCCUCACGCAGCAGGAGCGGCCGAUGUCUGAUUAGCUAGUUGGUGGGGUAAAGGCCCACCAAGGCGACGAUCAGUAGCUGGUCUGAGAGGACGAUCAGCCACACUGGGACUGAGACACGGCCCAGACUCCUACGGGAGGCAGCAGUGGGGAAUUUUGGACAAUGGGGGCAACCCUGAUCCAGCAAUGCCGCGUGUGUGAAGAAGGCCUUCGGGUUGUAAAGCACUUUUGUCCGGAAAGAAAUCGCGCUGGUUAAUACCUGGCGUGGAUGACGGUACCGGAAGAAUAAGCACCGGCUAACUACGUG